AGGACGAACGCUGGCGGCGUGCUUAACACAUGCAAGUCGAACGGAAAGGCCCUGCUUGCAGGGUACUCGAGUGGCGAACGGGUGAGUAACACGUGGGUGAUCUGCCCUGCACUUCGGGAUAAGCCUGGGAAACUGGGUCUAAUACCGGAUAGGAGCCAUUUUUAGUGUGAUGGUUGGAAAGUUUUUUCGGUGUAGGAUGAGCUCGCGGCCUAUCAGCUUGUUGGUGGGGUAAUGGCCUACCAAGGCGGCGACGGGUAGCCGGCCUGAGAGGGUGGACGGCCACAUUGGGACUGAGAUACGGCCCAGACUCCUACGGGAGGCAGCAGUGGGGAAUAUUGCACAAUGGGCGCAAGCCUGAUGCAGCGACGCCGCGUGGGAUGACGGCCUUCGGUUGUAAACUCCUUCGCUAGGACGAAGCUUUUGUGACGGUACUAGAUAAGAAGCACCGCUAACUACGUGCCAGCAGCCGC
rnacentral:rRNA from 1 species